UGUUUCGGCUAGGGGGCCAUCCCGGCUUACCAACCCGAUGCAAACUGCGAAUACCGGAGAAUGUUAUCACGGGAGACACACGGCGGGUGCUAACGUCCGUCGUGAAGAGGGAAACAACCCAGACCGCCAGCUAAGGUCCCAAAGUCAUGGUUAAGUGGGAAACGAUGUGGGAAGGCCCAGACAGCCAGGAUGUUGGCUUAGAAGCAGCCAUCAUUUAAAGAAAGCGUAAUAGCUCACUGGUCGAGUCGGCCUGCGCGGAAGAUGUAACGGGGCUAAACCAUGCACCGAAGCUGCGGCAGCGACACUGUGUGUUGUUGGGUAGGGGAGCGUUCUGUAAGCCUGUGAAGGUGGCCUGUGAGGGUUGCUGGAGGUAUCAGAAGUGCGAAUGCUGACAUAAGUAACGAUAAAGCGGGUGAAAAGCCCGCUCGCCGGAAGACCAAGG
rnacentral:rRNA from 1 species